rnacentral:lncRNA from 1 species
UGUAAGCUUACACACAAUUCAAGGAGUAACGCUGAGAGUUGGGUGACACUUGCUGUCACCUGUGCAUCAGGGAAUGGUGGCAGAGAGGAAAGAGGAAACAGCAGGACCAGAUCAUAUUUAGUGCUGGCAAGCAGCCAAAGAAAGAGGGUAUGUAGACAUUUGAUUUAUUUUUCUCCAUCUAAAAAGAAAAGCAGGGGAUUUAAUAGUAACAAACUCAUAAUAGGAUUGUUCCAUAAGGAUUAUGCAAGGCCAAGUUCAUGUUUUCCCAUUUCUCAAGUGGAGAGGUACUUGUUCUUCACUCAAUUAUAAAUCUCCUUGCAGACUUAGGCCAAGGCAGUGAGUGUUAUC